CCAAUAGCGUAUACUAAAGUUGUUGCAGUUAAAAAGCUCGUAGUUGAACUUCAGGCCUGGCUGGACGGUCCGCCUUCCGGGCGAGCACUGUCUGUGGUCGGGUCCUACCUUCUGGCGAAGCGUCAUGGCCUUAACCGGCCGUGGCGGGGAACCAGGACUUUUACUGUGAAAAAAUUAGAGUGUUCAAAGCAGGCAAUUUCGCUUGGAUACAUUAGCAUGGACUAAUUGAAUAGGACAAUGGUUCUAUUUGUUGGUUUCUAGGACUGUUGUAAUGAUUAAUAGGGAUAGUUGGGGGCAUUAGUAUUCAAUUGUCAGAGGUGAAAUUCUUGGAUUUAUUGAAGACUAACUACUGCGAAAGCAUUUGCCAAGGAUGUUUUCAUUAAUCAAGAACGAAAGUUAGGGGAUCGAAGACGAUCAGAUACCGUCGUAGUCUUAACCAUAAACUAUGCCGACUAGGAAUCGGGCGAUGUUGACAAAAUGACGCGCUCGGCACCUCAUG
rnacentral:rRNA from 1 species